ACAUGCAAGUCGAACGAGAUUUUCGGAUCUAGUGGCGCACGGGUGAGUAACGCGUGGGAACCUACCUUUUAGUACGGGACAACGUUUGGAAACGAACGCUAAUACCGUAUACGCCCUCCGGGGGAAAGGUCAGCCGCUGAAAGAGGGGCCCGCGUCUGAUUAGCUUGUUGGUAAGGUAAUGGCUUACCAAGGCUACGAUCAGUAGCUGGUCUGAGAGGAUGAUCAGCCACACUGGGACUGAGACACGGCCCAGACUCCUACGGGAGGCAGCAGUGGGGAAUAUUGGACAAUGGAGGCAACUCUGAUCCAGCAAUGCCGCGUGUGUGACGAAGGCCCUAGGGUUGUAAAGCACUUUCAACGGUGAAGAUGAUGACGGUAGCCGUAGAAGAAGCCCCGG
rnacentral:rRNA from 1 species